GGAAAAAUUUCAGACGAUUGCCUUAGUUUUCCUGCGAAUCGGUGCCAAUCGGUAUCGAUGGAAUUUAUAUUUGAUUUGUUAAGCGCAAAUUAAUACGAAUAUUUGAAAAGUGUUCAAGGAAGAAAAGUAACGAAUCUCGAUAAUUAAGGCGAGGAGGCAUCGACAUCCCCCAAAGGGGCAUGGUCAUCGGGGAACAAAGAAAUCUUUGCAAGGGCAAAGAAAAGAGGCUCCUUCCUUAAAUUCCAUUCCGAUCGAUUGGCCACAAUUACAACGAAGGGGCCAACCAAACUCAAACCGAUAUUUAUCAUGGCCGGCGAACGAAUAAUAUCACGAGCAAGCAGCACAGGAAACGACUGGACUAGAGCCUCGUUGCAUCAAUUACGGAUAUCCAUUAGCUUAAUUAAGCUCCGUGACACCCGUGUAGAGAGGCACGGUCAAAGCGAAGAGAAACGAUGGAAAAGGGGUGAUGACCGCUAGAAAGGGGUAAAGGAGAAAAAUGCAUUUUCGAUUAUCGCAUUCGCAACAGUGAGAGACGAUUCAACGCCACUUUAGCGAUGUUUUAAAACGUAAAUAAAGUAUUUGCGCUUCUUAAA